CAAAGGACGUAGAAUAUAUCAGCUCUGGAGGUAGGCUGUGCUCAUCUGUCCUCUCAGUCACUAUUUUCAAUUUAAAUAUCUCAUAUUAACCACAGAUCACAAAUGUGUUUAUUUUAUUAUUAUUUUUUUUAAUAGACACAACAAAUGGAAUCAAAUAUGCUGCCAUCUGCUGGGGAAAUAUUUGUACAUGCACAUUCAUAAAUACCAUAGAGUAGACAAUAGCCUACCAUAGACAGCGGACAAUACGAGUAGCAUCUUCCUGCAAAACCGGAGGCUGCAUUUUCAGGACCGCAAACCUAGGACCGUAUUUCUAGGACCCUAGGUUUUUAGUGACAACGAUGCCUACUAGAUCUUGCUCAGAAAAUCGAUCCUGGCAGCUGGACUGAGAAGACUGGGCAAGAUAUUGUGGGCUUGCCUCGCCAGAUCUGUGGAAACGACUGGGAUUUUUAUACUUAUGUUAAAGUGGCCUCUGUUUUUACACAAUGUCCAAUCUAUCCUGUUUUUAAGCGUUAUAACUAGGGCCGGGACUCGAUUAAAAAAAUUAAUCUAAUUAAUUAGAGGC